rnacentral:rRNA from 1 species
AUGGCGAGCGGCGGCGGCAAGGCGACGGCCUCGUCCUGGGCGGCGGCGAUGAGCAUGGGCGCGGGCACGGUGGAGGCGCUCAAGGAGCGGCACGCCGGGCUAUGCCGCUGGAACUACCACGCGCUCCGGUGCGUCCAGCAGCGCGCUGGCACCGCGGCCGCCGGGAACGGCAAGACCAUGGCGGCGCCCGCUGCUGGCGGGGCGGCGGCCAGGAGGAGGAACCGAGGAAGGCGAGGCAGGAGCAGGAGGAGGAGCUCCGGACUGUCAUGUACAUCAGCAACUGGGGACCAAAUAACUAGCAAGCAGAUUAGUCAUCAGUCCUCUGUUCUUCAUCUUCUUAGAUGGCCAGAAUGGUGCACCGUGCACAAGCUGCACCAGUUCGUCUGGCUGGAUCUGAAUGUGUGGGAACACACCACGCGCAUUCUCGAGCUUGUGUAA